AUAAAAACUGUGAAAAAGAGGAGUAUGUAAAUACACUACAAGAGAGGAAAAUUAAUAGCUGAAAGAUUUUCUUAGUAAAUGUUUACAGAAGGUAGCUUUGGAGUUUCUAAGCUGAACUAAUAGUAAGUUUAGACGGUGGGAAUCGUUAAGAUCUAUUAAGAGCCAUAGUAGAUAUGUAAUCUAGUGUGGAAUUAAGGUGGUAACGCGAGCUUUUCGUCCUUAUU
rnacentral:ncRNA from 1 species